rnacentral:tRNA from 1 species
AGCUUCGAAGUUUUAAACGUUAGAUUGCAAAUCCAAAAAAGCAGGUUAAUUGCCGGCCGGGGCUU